rnacentral:rRNA from 1 species
UACUAUACCAAUAAAUAUUAAUGACCUGGAUUAUUAAUAGAUAUAUUCUUUAAAUUUAAAGAAUUUGGCGGUAAUUUAGUCUUGUUAGAGGAACCUGUUUUUGAAUUGAUACACCACGCAGAAUCUUACUCGUUUUAUUAAGUUUAUAUACCGUCAUUAGCAGAUAAUUUUUAAAAAAUUAAUUAUUAAAUUUUAAAAGUUAAGCUAAAUUAGAUCAAGGUGCAGCCUAUAAAUGAGUUAAAAUGGGUUACAAUAAGAUUUACUUAUAACGGAGCAAUUAUAAGAAUUUAUAUUGUUGAAGGAGGAUUUAAUUGUAAUAUAGAAGUUUAAUAAGCUAAAAAGAUAUAAGCUCUAAAUUAU